rnacentral:rRNA from 1 species
GACGAACGCUGGCGGCGUGCUUAACACAUGCAAGUCGAACGAUGAAAGAGAAUCCGAUCUCUUCGGAGUGAAGAAUCUCUGGAUUAGUGGCGGACGGGUGAGUAACGCGUGAGCAAUCUGCCUUACACAAAGGGAUAGCCUCGGGAAACCGGGAUUAAUACCAUAUGAUAUCUAUUAACCGCAUGGUCUAUAGAUUAAAGAAUUUCGGUGUAAGCUGAGCUCGCGUCCCAUUAAUUAGUUGGUGAGGGUAACGGCCCACCAAGAUAGCGAUGGGUAGCCGAUCUAAGAGGGAGACCGGCCACAUUGGAACUGAGCAACGGACCAAACUCCUACGGGAGGCAGCAGUGGGGAAUAUUGCACAAUGGGGGAAACCCUGAUGCAGCGACGCCGCGUGAGCGAUGAAGGCUUUCGAGUCGUAAAGCUCUGUCCUAUGGGAAGAUAAUGACGGUACCAUAGAAGAAAGCCCCGGCUAAUUACGUG